UCUCCCUUUCUUCCGGGCGUGCAGAAAGGAUGAACCCAUCCCGAGCCGUGCGCCCCUUCCCCCGUCCUCCUCCACCUUGCCUGGGCUCCGCCUCCUCAUCCUCUCUCUCUCUUCUGCGCCAACGGCCACCCCCUCGUUGCUGGACCCCGCCCUGCUUCGCCUCCGCCAGCCUCUUCCUCCUUGCCGUCGACGGCAGCGGUGUGAACUGGAGCAGCGGCCGCGACUAGAUGCGAUGGGUUGACUGGGCUGGUUCCACGCUAAGGAACGGACCCCCUCGACACCAUCCUCUGCAGGGCUACUCUGCUGCCUCCGUUUGUCACAGUUAAGGUUUGUGAUCUCUUCUGCAUUCCGCUUUCUAGGAGUUCUUGCCUUCAACGCUGAGGUGGAAUGGCUCUUCCCAUACUUGUUUCGCGAAGGUGGGGCUCGAAGAAGUAUGGCCCUGAUGCGCUAGGUUUGUCAUUUUUGUUAGCAUCCGCUUCCUUCGUUGGUUGUCGCUUGUUUGUACAUUGUUGUAGUUCAGAGACGCCACCCAAUUUGCUAAUAUAAUUGUUCAGUGCUCUCUCACAGCGAUUCUUACAAAAUUAUCAUGCAUACAGUUCCCUGUUUAAGUAGAAUAUAACCACUGGGUUAUUCAAAUGCAGAUUCUUUUGUAACUCAAGAGGUUAUAUUUUAAUUGCAUGCACUUACUUUAGCUUAGGGGUUCAUCUGUACGGGAGCACAUCAUUGGAGAGAAAGAUCGUGAUCAAAGGAAAUAGGUUUCAGCUUUCAGGUACAUACUCUGUACUAUUAGAAACAUAUGAGCAAGGUUGUCAAAAUGACGCUCUAUAUCGCAAUCUUUUCUAGAAACCGACUUCAUAGUUUUCCCAUGUGACGUGACUACAUGUUCUACUUUCUUAUUGUAAACAUGCUAAUAUCUUUCUUCUUAUAUUAUAACAAAAUGCUCAGUUCUUUUCAUUGAAUAUAGACGCAACUUUUUCUUUGGGUACAUGUAUGAUUAGAUGUAUAAUUAGUAGUGCUUUCCGUCUGACACUUUUUUUAUGGCUGGGAGGUUUGACACAAAUAUCCAUAUAAUUCUGCUUUUCUUCUCUAUGCCUCAAGCUUGCUCUCCUGUGUUACAAUGCAGACUCAUGCGCCUGUUUUCCUUUUUCCUUUUGAUGGGGCCGUUCAGGUGAGGUGAAGCAAGCAAGCACCUCCCCGUGUUUUAUAUUUGAGAUCGAGGAGAAAGCGAGCCAUUGCAGAGGAGAGGGGAUACGAGGAUGGGCGGAUGUCAGGACUUGCUAACAGAUUUGCGGCAGAGUGGGAGAGGUGACCCCGGCUGGCCGACGCCUCACCACCGGCUCCUGUUUGGCGGUGGCAAAGAGAAGGGUGCCGAGGAUGUGUUGCUCUAUGCAUGGGUGUCGAAGUACAUCCUCGUUAUGAUGUGUAUGGUUUCUCUAUUUUCAGCCCUACUGCUCUUGAGCCCAAAUCCCAUGACCAUGCCCCCACCUCUCCUUCGUUGAAUGAAGGGAGUUUGGUUGCUAAAAGGUAUGGAAUUUUAAUUUGAUAGUCCGAACAACAGUGGGUACUGAUGGAGCUAUCUACAUCUUUACAUGAUAAGCUGACACCUAAUAAGGAUCAGGAGAACAACAGAGAUGCUAAGAGGCAACCUUUUGGGGUUAAGGAUAUCAACAACAACAGGGCUUAUGAGGCCGAAGAGAGCUCGAGUGGCGUCUUUUGGUACUUGAAGCCCUGCAUGUUCCUGGUGUAGUAGCAGCAAAAUAAUUUGGAGGCUUUAAAGCUACUGCACUUCAUGUAGUUAGGAUCAAUUCUUUGUUUCGGUUUGAAAUAUUCCCCUGUUCCUCCUAUUUGAUUGAUUCAUCUGAUGGACAUUUUGUUAGGCAAAUAAACAAAAGGCAUAUGUAUUGUUCAAGAAAUUCAAGAAAUAGAGAAAUGUUAUUUUUCUUCUACUAAUUGGUUGCUUGGCCAAAUGUAUUGUAAAUGAUUUAUUAUUGUUCAAGGUAUAGAGAAAUGUUAUUGUUCUUCA